rnacentral:lncRNA from 10 species
UGGCGUGAACCCAGGAGGCGGAGCUUGCAGUGAGCCGAGAUCGUGCCACUGCACUCCAGUCCGGGCGACAGAGCCAGACUCCAUCUCAAAAAAAAAAAGAUGGAGUCUGGCUCUGUCGCCCAGGCUGGAGUGCAGUGGCACGAUCUCGGCUCACUGCAACCUCUGCCUCCCGGGUUCAAGCGAUUCUCCCGCCUCAGCCUCCCGAGUAGCU